UUAGAGGAAGUAAAAGUCGUAACAAGGUUUCCGUAGGUGAACCNUGCGGAAGGAUCAUAUCGUACAGCGGGAGGCGCGAGGCUGUCGCUGACCCUCGGGGUCGUGCACGCCCUGGGCGUCCUCUACACAAUCCAUCUCACCCUUGUGCAUCACCGCGUGGGCUUCCUUCGGAUCUGUCGGAUCCGAAAGGGGUUCGCGCCUUUCACACAGACACCCUUUAUUUAUUCUGUAUAGAAUGUCUCUACACUUUUGCGAUCACACGCAAUCAAYACAACUUUCAACAACGGAUCUCUUGGCUCUCGCAUCGAUGAAGAACGCAGCGAAAUGCGAUACGUAAUGUGAAUUGCAGAAUUCAGUGAAUCAUCGAAUCUUUGAACGCACCUUGCGCCCCUUGGCAUUCCGAGGGGCACACCCGUUUGAGUGUCGUGAAAUCCUCAACCCUUCUCCGUUUGUUGAAUCAGGGAAGGCUUGGACUUUGGAGGCUUUUGCUGGCCCCUUCAGCCAGCUCCUCUUAAACAAAUUAGCGGGGUUCCCUUUGCUGAUCCUCGACGUGAUAAGCCAUUUCUACGUCCGGAAAGGCAGAGACCUGCUUCCAAUCGUCUCAUUCCGAGACACUGUGGGAUCGAUCACAAAACCUCUCUUGACCUCAAAUCGGGUGAGACUACCCGCUGAACUUAAGCAUAUCAAUAAGCGGAGGA
rnacentral:sRNA from 1 species